UACGGAGGGAGCUAGCGUUGUUCGGAAUUACUGGGCGUAAAGCGCACGUAGGCGGCUUUGUAAGUUAGAGGUGAAAGCCCGGGGCUCAACCCCGGAAUUGCCUUUGAGACUGCAUCGCUAGAAUUGUGGAGAGGUAAGUGGAAUUCCGAGUGUAGAGGUGAAAUUCGUAGAUAUUCGGAAGAACACCAGUGGCGAAGGCGACUUACUGGACACAUAUUGACGCUGAGGUGCGAAAGCGUGGGGAGCAACAGGG
rnacentral:rRNA from 1 species